rnacentral:rRNA from 1 species
UGGGGAAUUUUGGACAAUGGGCGAAAGCCUGAUCCAGCAAUGCCGCGUGUGUGAAGAAGGCCUUCGGGUUGUAAAGCACUUUUGUCCGGAAAGAAAUCCUUGGCUCUAAUACAGUCGGGGGAUGACGGUACCGGAAGAAUAAGCACCGGCUAACUACGUGCCAGCAGCCGCGGUAAUACGUAGGGUGCAAGCGUUAAUCGGAAUUACUGGGCGUAAAGCGUGCGCAGGCGGUUUGCUAAGACCGAUGUGAAAUCCCCGGGCUCAACCUGGGAACUGCAUUGGUGACUGGCAGGCUAGAGUAUGGCAGAGGGGGGUAGAAUUCCACGUGUAGCAGUGAAAUGCGUAGAGAUGUGGAGGAAUACCGAUGGCGAAGGCAGCCCCCUGGGCCAAGUACUGACGCUCAUGCACGAAAGCGUGGGGAGCAAACAGGAUUAGAUACCCUGGUAGUCCACGCCCUAAACGAUGUCAACUAGUUGUUGGGGAUUCAUUUCCUUAGUAACGUAGCUAACGCGUGAAGUUGACCGCCUGGGGAGUACGGUCGCAAGAUUAAAACUCAAAUGAAUUGACGGGGU